GUUUUAAUGAAAGACCCCUGGAGUGGGGAGACCCUCACUCAAGUCUUGGGAUGGCGCGACCCCCCAAAAACUCACGCAAGACC
rnacentral:pre_miRNA from 14 species